rnacentral:misc_RNA from 1 species
CAAUAGUGGUCUGCCUAUAUGGUUGCAAUUUCAAAUACACCCAAUCCCCAACUUGAAAGUCCCUUUCACUCCUCUUUUUAUCCACUUGCUGCUUCAUUCUACUCCUGGCCAGCUGUAAAUUCUCUUUGAGUAAGGAAGUAAUAGUUGUCCUGUCCUUAAGGAAUUCUUCCACUGCAGCAACUGUUGACAUUUCAGUAGGCAAAGCUGGUAGCAUUGGAGGAUAGUAACCAUAAAGAGCUUCAAAUGGAGUCAUCCUAAUAGCACUAUGAUAGGUAGAAUUAUACCACCAUUCUGCUAAGGAAAUCCACCUACCCCAAGUGAUAGGUUUCAAAUGAGCCAUGCUCCUCAAAUACCCUUCCAAACACUGUUUUACCCUCUCAGUUUGGCCAUCAGAUUGAGGGUGAUAAGAGGUGCUAAAACAAAGAGAAGAACCCAGCUUCUUGAACAAUUCUCUCCAAAAAAGGCUUGUAAAAACCUUAUCCCUAUCUGAAACAAUAGUUUGAGGGGCACCGUGCAACUUAUAAACAUGGUCCAAAAAUAGUUGAGCAACUGAAGAUGCAGAAUAGGGAUGAGAGAGAGGCAAAAAGUGGGCAUACUUGGUGAAUCUACAAACAACAACCAAGAUGGUAUCUUUGCCAGCUGACUUGGGCAAUUGUUCUACAAAAUCCAUAGAGAUAUGCUGCCAAGCCUGGUUAGGAAGUGGUAGAGGCUGUAGCAAACCAGGAGUAGCACAAGUUUCCCCCUUACAUCUUGCACAGUCAUCACACUUCUUUACCCAAUCUAGCACAUCCUCUUUCAAUCCUGGCCAAUAGAAAUGUUUCUUCAACCUAUGACAAGUUCUCAAUACCCCUGAAUGCCCUCCUAAGGGUGAAUUGUGAUACAAAGUAAUGAGAUGACUUCUUAAAGAAGUAUUACAACCAACAUAUAAUCUGCCCUUAUAAUACAACAAGCCAGAUUUGAGAGUAAAUCCCGGAACACUACCUGCUGCCACUGAAAGCUGUUGAAUCAAUUCCGCAGCCCUCACAUCUCCUUCAUAUGUAGCUGUAGCAUUAGAUAUCCAGGUAGGAACUGCAGCAGAUUGCAAAGCAAAACAAUUAAUUCCAGGCUGUUCCGCAAAGCUUCUUCUAGACAAGGCAUCAGCCACCUUAUUUUCAAUACCCCUUCUAUACAAAAUCUUAUAAUCCAGCUCUAACAAUUUAGAAAUUCCCCUCUGCUGCAAGUUAGUAUGAAGUCGCUGUUCUAACAAGUAUUUAAUGCUUUCAUGGUCUAUCUUAAUGAAAAAUUGCCCUUGUUCUAAAUAAUGUCUCCAUUUAGAAAUAGCAAAAGUAAUUGCCAUCAAUUCCUUCUCAUAAACUGAAAGCCCCAUACUUCUUACUCCAAAUGCCUUAGAAAUAAAGGCA